AUAAGUAACUCCAUUUAAAUACUAUUUAUAUAUUUGCAUAUAAUGUGUGUGUAUGAAUGCUUCUACAGCAGUAGGUUUCCAUAAAAAAGUUUAAUUAAAAAAUAAAUCUGGUCAGGUGUUCUGUUUUGGUAAAUAUUGCUGAAUGAAUCCAACGUUCUCAUGAACUUUUCAUGAAAAAAAUAGCUGCUGGAGAGGGAGCAAAAGUAGUAAGAAAAGGUUGACUAGAAGUAUCCUACUCGUUACUCAUUGAAAAAUGCAGGGAGUUAAGGUUAGAGCCUCAUACACACUAGGCAGGCUUUCUACCACUGACCUGUAUCCCCAGCCCAUGGAAGUACUUUAUGUGGGAAGACAGCAGGGGUAGGAACUCCCCUUUUCUUAGGGUCCUCCUAAAGACAUGUGGACACCAAGUUCCAUUUUAUUUUUCUGUAUGAAGCUAUAAUGCUGUCAUUCACAAUCUUUUGGUCUUUUCAGUGUUGUUUCUAAGUGUGUUCUGAUUAUAUAAUCUUAGCAUGAGAUGUAUUUUCAUUUUGCUUCAGUUUUAAAAUGUAAUGUAAAAGAAUGUUAAUUCUUUUAUAUAGUAUAUUAAGUCAAAUAUGGAGUUGUAUAUGAAAUUGAGAUAUACUAAACAAUACUUAACAUUUUCUUACUGUAAGAUCAUGAGAUCAUUACUGUGAAUCCUACAUAUGAACCUCUUUAAAUCCCACGAGUGUCUGUGGUGUAGGUGCUGUUACCAGCUCCUUUGACUGGUGAGGAAACUGGAUAUGCAAAGGUUAGCUAAUCUUCAAGAGCUACACAACUAGAACAUGGUAGGAAUUUCUGACUCACUCUGCAUAGUUUUUUAAAAAGUCACAUGUCAGAAGCUGGUCUUGAACUUCUGAUCUACCACUGUCUUCCAAGUGCUGAGUUUAUAGAUAUGAACUGCUAUGACCAUUCUUAUUUAUGAUUAUUUAAAAAAAUUUAUAUUUAUGUGUAUGAAUAGUUUGCCUGCGUGUAUGUAUGUGCACUGCAUGUGUGCCUGGAGCCUCCCUGGCCAACCGAGGUAUCAGAUCCCCUAGAACUGGUGGUGUAGACGGCUGUGAGCUACCAUGUGGGUGCUUCGGACCAAGCUGGGGUCCUCCAGAAGGUGAGUGUUUGUAACUACUGAGCCUUUGUCUAGUGCCCCCUACUUUAUAUUUACUUAUGUGUGUGUGUGUGUCAGUGUCUGUGUACAGAUGUGCACAUUUGUGCUGGUACCUGAAGAGAGUGUCAGGUCUCCCAGAGUUAAUAGGUAAUUUACUGACCUGGGUGCUGGGAUAUGAAUCCUGGUCCCCUCAGAGAGCUGUAUAGAUUUUUUUUUUUCUCAAAACAGGUCUUUGAAAACAAUGUUUUUUUGUUUUUUUUUUUUUUUGUUUGUUUUUACAUGUAUGAAUGUUUUGCCUGCAUGUAUGUCUGUACCACAUGCAUGUCUUGCUGCCCAAGGCAGAAGAGGGUGUUAGAUCUUCUGGGACAGGAGUUUUCAGAUGACAGUGAGCUGCCAUGUGGGUGCUGGGAAUCUGGGUCCCCUGGAGCAGCCAGUGAAUAUAACUACUGAGCCAUCUCUGCAGCCUGCAAAGCAGAUGAGGCUAACAGAACAGUCGGGAACAUAGGAAAGCCAUGAGAAAAACAGAACUCCUCAUCCUCCUACUCACAGCCAACAUCUGUAAAUAUAAAUAGACAUACUUUAAGUUGAAAUCAUUACCUAGUGUUGCUCCCAUAACUUAAGAUUAAAGAAACUUAACAUAGCAUAACUU
rnacentral:lncRNA from 1 species